ACCCAUAUAUUCCUUUUAUUGUUAUUACGUAUCUAAAUGAAAUCGACGGCCAAUCAAAAGCCUGGAAUUGCGAAUUUAUUUACUCCGAGGAGAAUCCAAUCAAUUAUCCAUUAAACCGAUCAACAAGGAUUAUUUCCUAUUUCGGCGACUAUUUGUGGAAGCGGCGAAUUUGCUAGAAGAUUUUAUUGCAUGGACAACCGGAUCUCCAGUGAUUUUAUUCCAAUCUGCAAUGGCUAAAUUGAUUUUCUUUGCAUAUUGAGAGUCAUACACUGAUUGUAAAUCUUUUGAGAAGUGUACAAGUACUGUAGUAAUGCAUGUAGUUUGGUAAAGUGAUCUACCAACUUAGAGUAGUAGAAAUGCAAGCUACAUGUGUAACGACUCACGAGCUACUAGUGAAUUCCAGCCUUGUUGGUGGCUGUCAAUUUAGUAGAGUGAACAUAGGCAUGAUCUUUAGCCAAACCAGUCCAAUAUCUGCGUGCACAAUCUUCUAUCUCUAUUUAUUUUCAUAUAUAUGUCUGAUAGAAACUCACCAAUCGAUAUUAGUGGCUUAUCCUUGCAUAUGUCAAAUUGUUCCUACUUAUAUCAACUUGAUUCUGUUUAAUUCUGCAAAAUUUAUCAAGCUGAAAUAUAAAACUUAUUCUCAACCCCCCACCCCCCACCCCUUCGGCCACCCGCUCACCCGCCCUAGGUCAUAUCAUUAGCCGUAACGGCCAUUCUUCCAAAUUCCCCUCUUAGUGAACCUCUUUGUUACCAAAAAUUGGAAUGAACAUAAAGAAUCUUAGAAAAAUGGAAUAAGUGCAUUAGAAGUUUUAAAACUUG
rnacentral:lncRNA from 1 species